CCCACACCUGUUGAAAAAGGUCGGGAUGAGUUGUGGCUAGGGGUGAAAGGCCAAUCAAACUCGGAGAUAGCUGGUUCUCUGCGAAAUCUAUUUAGGUAGAGCGUCAUCCGAAUACCCUCGGGGGUAGAGCACUGGAUGGGUAAUGGGGCCCCACAGGCUUACUGAUCCUAACCAAACUCCGAAUACCGAGGAGUACUAGAUGGCAGACACACGGCGAAUGCUAACGUCCGUCGUGGAGAGGGAAACAACCCUGACCUACAGCUAAGGCCCCUAAUUCAUGGCUAAGUGGGAAAGCAGGUGGGACGACCAAAACAAC
rnacentral:rRNA from 1 species